rnacentral:rRNA from 1 species
CCUACGGGAGGCUGCAGUGGGGAAUAUUGGGCAAUGGGCGAAAGCCUGACCCAGCAACGCCGCGUGAGGGAAGAAGGCUUUCGGGUUGUAAACUUCUAUUGACAGGGAAGAACAGAAGACUGUACCUGAAGAAAAAGCAUCGGCUAACUCCGCGCCAGCCGCCGCGGUAAUACGGAGGAUGCGAGCGUUCUCCGUUUUUAUUGGGUUAAAAGGAUGCGCAGGCGGAGACACAGGUAAGCGGGAAAAUCGAGGGGCUCAACCUCGCACCGCCUUUGAAACUGUGUCCCUUGAGUGCGCGAAGGGUAGGCGGAAUGCGUGGUGUAGCGGUGAAAUGCAUAGAUAUCACGAAGAACACCGAUCGCGAAGGCAGCCUACCGGAGCGUAACUGACGUUCAUGCACGAAAGCGUGGGUAGCGAACAGGAUUAGAUACCCGGGUAGUC